AAUGAUGUGCCUGAUUAAAGGAUUACUGUGAUAGAGUAAAUAAUGUAACCUCUUUACCUUCAUUG
rnacentral:tRNA from 1 species